rnacentral:lncRNA from 1 species
UGAAAGCUAACUACAGAGUUGACCAUGGGAGUGUAUCCACCAUUUCUUCUCAGUGUGUUUGGCAAAGUAAAAAUCUUCAGGUCAAACCGAUGAUGAACACCCCAGGCAAAGGAAGUUAUUUACACAAAAAGGCAAAAUCCAUGAGUAUUAAAGCUGUUGAAAAUUACUAUGUAUAGUACUGGGGUAGGCUGUGAAAAACUCAACGUCUUGAUGUAGCUACAGGUAUGAGUAAAGCAGCAGAUAAAUGUUGACAGCAUUUUGUCUUCGUACACGUUGGGCUCACCGCAAGCAUUGAGUGCAAAUUGCAGAAUAAAUUCACAUGCUGAAUACUGGAGAAGAACUGC